rnacentral:tRNA from 1 species
GCGCUAGUAGCUCAACUGGAUAGAGUACUUGGCUACGAACCAAGAGGUUAUGGGUUCGACUCCUGUCUAGCGCGCCA